GUAUCCCAUUUUUUAACAAUCUUUUUGCCAUUUAGGUAUAGCAUAGAAGGAGACCUUGAGAGAGUAGGCAAAACCUUAUCAAAAAAUCCUUCUUCACCCAGACCCUAACCCACCAAAGAAAAACCCCAUUUUCUCUCCUCUUUCAAAUGGCCGAUCAGCUCAACAAUUACCGGGUCUCGGUGUUUAAAGAAGGCCUUCUGCCUCUUCGAUAAGGACUGCGAUGGAAUUUGUGGUAUUCGCAAGUCGCCGAAAGAUGGAUUUGGAAGCUUCGAUUUCGCAAGUCGCUGAAAGAUGGAUUUGGAAGCUUCCAACCAUAGGGGAAUUGUAGGCAUGAUGGUCAACCUUCCUUUUUAAUUACAUAAUAGCGGUUUACUACACUAAAAAUACCCCUUUUGCAGACUUUAUUGGAAUCUACCUUGUCAUUAAAGACAUGGUUAGUAGGCACGGCAGACCUGUAUUGUCCUUACGCAAAGGGACAUCAGGUAAAACUUAAAGGCAUACUUAAAAUAAAGAGAUAUAUAAACCUGCAUAAGUGAAAAAAAAUAGUUUUGGUUCGUCUAGAUAGAUUGCCUAUUGAACUGUGUUGCGCUAAGUUAAUCUAAACACAUAUCAAACCAACUUGUGCCAGCGUUAUCCUGCGAACUUGACUAAUUUAUUAGAUAUACUGUUGUGAAUAUAUAUUUCAAAUGUUUCUCGCUGAGACGUGCGUAGAGUGAACAAGAUAUAUAAGUUUUAGUUAAAUAUAGGGCUGCACAUUAUGUAUAGUUGCUGGCCGGUUACAUUUGACUGAAUCUAAUCACAUGUCAAGCCAACCUGUGCGGCGUUAUCCUGCUGACUUGAUUAAUCUAAUGCUUUCCAAAAGUUACUUGCUGAGGAGUUCAACGCUGUAUCAAGAUCGUGUCUCUGGUGGUUGACUGUUCAAAAAAGCACGAGAUAUAUAGUCUUUUAUUUAACGUUAGGAUGCAUCUAACGUACCGUUGAUAGGUUGUUAUGUUUUAGGUUGCACGCAGAUAGGUAAAUUCAAACUAAUAUAGAUAAAGCUACAAAGAUGUGCAUUGCCAAUACAAAACCUUGCUUCACGUUGGCUGUUCGUUUAGGAUGCACAAUUAUAUUAGUCAACCUUUAAGACGGUUUGAAGGCAGUUAGUUAGUCUGCGCCCCGAUACUAAUUGUUGGAACCUUUCUCACAACUACAGAUGCAAACUAAGCCGGUUUCAACUGUAUAAUCCAUUAUAAUCUAUUAAGACUUAUGGAUAGUUGUUACUACUGGAACCUUUCAUAAUCUCAAUACUUGAAUUCUGGUAACGAUAUAUGCAGGUACUGAAUCAUAGCACGUGUUUCAGAUAACACAGGUAGCAUCGCGGCAGUCAUUUUCGACCAUGCCGGCAAACAACUUUUAGGUAAGACGUGAAGAGUUGGCUGCAACUAAAGACCCGAUGAAAACAUUGUACUUAGUAAUGGGGAAGACACCAAUGCCCCAUCAAAAAGGCCUGGCAAAGGCAAUUUGACCGAUCAAAACUGAACUCACUGAAGAUGUCACUUUUGUCCACCUAAAAGAAGAAGCGAAGGCGGGAUGCAGCCUAAAAGUAGAAUCGCUAAAAGCAUACCUUACUUUAGAACUACUUGUAACUAAUUUGUAAACUGCAUACUAAUGCCAGCAGUGUGUAUGCCUAGACAUACUGUAUUUUGUAUGCUGUGUCUACAAACAGCACCCGAAAAAAAAAAAAAAAAAAAAAAAAACUAUUCCCAAACCCGUCUCAAACCCGAUUAA
rnacentral:lncRNA from 1 species